rnacentral:rRNA from 1 species
GAUGAACGCUGGCGGCGUGCCUAAUACAUGCAAGUCGAGCGAACAGACGAGGAGCUUGCUCCUCUGACGUUAGCGGCGGACGGGUGAGUAACACGUGGAUAACCUACCUAUAAGACUGGGAUAACUUCGGGAAACCGGAGCUAAUACCGGAUAAUAUAUUGAACCGCAUUGUUCAAUAGUGAAAGACGGUUUUGCUGUCACUUAUAGAUGGAUCCGCGCCGCAUUAGCUAGUUGGUAAGGUAACGGCUUACCAAGGCGACGAUGCGUAGCCGACCUGAGAGGGUGAUCGGCCACACUGGAACUGGGACACGGUCCAGACUCCUACGGGAGGCAGCAGUAGGGAAUCUUCCGCAAUGGGCGAAAGCCUGACGGGGCAACGCCGCGUGAGUGAUGAAGGUCUUCGGAUCGUAAAACUCUGUUAUUAGGGAAGAACAAAUGUGUAAGUAACUAUGCACGUCUUGACGGUACCUAAUCAGAAAGCCACGGCUAACUACGUG